rnacentral:rRNA from 1 species
GACGAACGCUGGCGGCGUGCUUAACACAUGCAAGUCGAACGGAAAGGCCCUGCUUUUGUGGGGUGCUCGAGUGGCGAACGGGUGAGUAACACGUGAGUAACCUGCCCUUGACUUUGGGAUAACUUCAGGAAACUAGGGCUAAUACCGGAUAGGAGCUCCUGCUGCAUGGUGGGGGUUGGAAAGUUUCGGCGGUUGGGGAUGGACUCGCGGCUUAUCAGCUUGUUGGUGGGGUAGUGGCUUACCAAGGCUUUGACGGGUAGCCGGCCUGAGAGGGUGACCGGCCACAUUGGGACUGAGAUACGGCCCAGACUCCUACGGGAGGCAGCAGUGGGGAAUAUUGCACAAUGGGCGGAAGCCUGAUGCAGCAACGCCGCGUGCGGGAUGACGGCCUUCGGGUUGUAAACCGCUUUCGCCUGUGACGAAGCGUGAGUGACGGUAAUGGGUAAAGAAGCACCGGCUAACUACGUGCCAGCAGCCGCGGUGAUACGUAGGGUGCGAGCGUUGUCCGGAUUUAUUGGGCGUAAAGGGCUCGUAGGUGGUUGAUCACGUCGGAAGUGUAAUCUUGGGGCUUAACCCUGAGCGUGCUUUCGAUACGGGUUGACUUGAGGAAGGUAGGGGAGAAUGGAAUUCCUGGUGGAGCGGUGGAAUGCGCAGAUAUCAGGAGGAACACCAGUGGCGAAGGCGGUUCUCUGGGCCUUUCCUGACGCUGAGGAGCGAAAGCGUGGGGAGCGAACAGGCUUAGAUACCCUGGUAGUCCACGCUGUAAACGGUGGGUACUAGGUGUGGGGUCCAUUCCACGGGUUCCGUGCCGUAGCUAACGCUUUAAGUACCCCGCCUGGGGAGUACGGCCGCAAGGCUAAAACUCAAAGGAAUUGACGGGGCCCCGCACAAGCGGCGGAGCAUGCGGAUUAAUUCGAUGCAACGCGUAGAACCUUACCUGGGUUUGACAUGGAUCGGGAGUGCUCAGAGAUGGGUGUGCCUCUUUUGGGGUCGGUUCACAGGUGGUGCAUGGCUGUCGUCAGCUCGUGUCGUGAGAUGUUGGGUUAAGUCCCGCAACGAGCGCAACCCUUGUUCACUGUUGCCAGCACGUUAUGGUGGGGACUCAGUGGAGACCGCCGGGGUCAACUCGGAGGAAGGUGGGGAUGACGUCAAGUCAUCAUGCCCCUUAUGUCCAGGGCUUCACGCAUGCUACAAUGGCUGGUACAGAGAGUGGCGAGCCUGUGAGGGUGAGCGAAUCUCGGAAAGCCGGUCUCAGUUCGGAUUGGGGUCUGCAACACGACCUCAUGAAGUCGGAGUCGCUAGUAAUCGCAGAUCAGCAACGCUGCGGUGAAUACGUUCCCGGG